UUCACUCAUUUUUGUCAUUUUUUCUGCCCCCUUGUUAGUGUCCACCACUUAGGAGGACAUUUGAGUGCCAUUCUUCAUCACUGCUACUGCUGUUGAUGGUUUCUGUGAGACUCCUGAUGACAUUGCCAAGGCUGCUGUUUCCUGGGACAGGUGGUUGAGGCACUGUGACAGCUGCAUUCACUGGCAUUCUAUUGAGUUCCUGGAAAAGCAUAGGAUCUAAGGAAGCAACACAUUUGGCACUGUUAUAGGAAUGGAAGACCAUUGUGGCUAUGACGAAUGAGCAAGAGGGAGAAGAGUAAGGAAUGAAGUUGAAGAGAACGAACCGAUGCAAUUAAACUAUCAAGUAUACAGACCACAUUUACAGGGAGCUGGAUGUUC